GUCAAUGGGCGCAAGCCUGGAACCAGCCAUGUCGCGUGCAGAUGGCGGCCCUAUGGGUGUAAGCUGCUUUUUUAACGGGAAUAAUGUCAUCUACCGUGUAGGUGUUUGAAGGUACCGUAUGAAUAAGGAUNGGCUAACUCCGCGCCAGCAGCCGCGGUAAUACGGAGGAUUCGAGCGUUAUCCGGAUUUAUUGGGUUUAAAGGGUCCGUAGGCGGGCUUGUAAGUCAGUGGUGAAAUCCCGGAGCUCAACUCCGGAACUGCCAUUGAUACUGCAGGUCUUGAAUUUAGUUGAGGUGGGCGGAAUACGUUAUGUAGCGGUGAAAUGCAUAGAUAUNACGUNGAACACCGAUUGCGAAGGCAGCUCAGCUAAGCUAAUAUUGACCCUGAUGGACGAAAGCGUGGGGAGCGAACAGGGAUUAGAUACCCNGGUAGUCCACGCCGUAAACGAUGAUUACUCGUUGUGCGCGAUAGCAGCAGUGNGCGNUUGACGCGAAAGCAUUAAGUAAUCC
rnacentral:rRNA from 1 species